AACGCGAAGAACCUUACCAAGUCUUAACUUCCUUUGGAAUAGGAAGUAAUGUUCCUAGUCCUUCGGGACAGAGGAGACAGGUGGUGCAUGGUUGUCGUCAGCUCGUGUCGUGAGAUGUUGGGUUAAGUCCCGCAACGAGCGCAACCCCUAUCUUUAGUACCCAGCAGUUCGGCUGGGCACUCUAGAGAGACUGCCAGGGAUAACCUGGAGGAAGGCGGGGAUGACGUCAAAUCAUCAUGCCCCUUAUGACUUGGGCUACACACGUGCUACAAUGGCGUAAACAAAGGGAAGCGAUCACGUGAAGGUCAGCAAAUCCCAAAAAUAACGUCUCAGUUCGGAUUGUAGUCUGCAACUCGACUACAUGAAGCUGGAAUCGCUAGUAAUCGCGAAUCAGAAUGUCGCGGUGAAUACGUUCCCGGGUCUUGUACACACCG
rnacentral:rRNA from 1 species